rnacentral:piRNA from 1 species
AGCAGGCGCGACAAUUGGUGGCCCGUACGGGGAACC